UACGUAGGGGGCUAGCGUUGUCCGGAAUCAUUGGGCGUAAAGCGCGUGUAGGCGGCCCGGUAAGUCCGCUGUGAAAGUCGGGGGCUCAACCCUCGGAUGCCGGUGGAUACUGUCGGGCUAGAGUCCGGAAGAGGCGAGUGGAAUUCCUGGUGUAGCGGUGAAAUGCGCAGAUAAUCAGGAGGAACACCAGUGGCGAAGGCGGGCUACCCUGGCCCAACUCUUGACGCUGACGGCGCGAAAGCUAGGGGAGCAAACGGGA
rnacentral:rRNA from 1 species